CAGUUGGUUAGAGCGCGCGCUUGAUAAGCGUGAGGUCGGAGGUUCAAGUCCUCCCAGGCCCACCAUCUCUGAUGGAAGCUGGGUGGCUUCCUAUCUCCUCUACAAAAGGUAUCAGGGGCCGUAGCUCAGCUGGGAGAGCGCCUGCUUUGCAAGCAGGAUGUCGUCGGUUCGAUCCCGUCCGGCUCCACCAUUACCUUUGGUGUUGAGUAGAGAUGAGGUGUCAGAAAAAGUCAUUCGUAAAAAAGGUUUGUGGUGAGCGUCUAGCUUGCCGCUUGUUCUGUUUGACAUUGUAAAGAGAAGAUUUGUUCGAACUUCAUGGCAGUAAUGCCGUGAUUUGUCGCGGGAGACGCUCAAUCUCCCGCAUAUGAUGGGCUUGCCUAACCGCACCCUCGAACCGAUCUCGAGAAGCUGGUCUUUUUGUGCCAAUGACAUCGAAGUUUGAUCCCGCACAGGAUCUGCUUCAGGCGACAAUCUCUCCGAGAUUGCGCGGACGCUAACCUCGCAAGGGGAAGGCUGAAGCGACAAUCCCUUCGGGAUUGCGCGGGUGGGCAUUGGCAAUGAGAACGAUCAAGUGUCUUAAGGGCAAUUGGUGGAUGCCUUGGCAUGCACAGGCGAUGAAGGACGUGAUACGCUGCGAUAAGCUACGU
rnacentral:tRNA from 1 species